rnacentral:rRNA from 1 species
CUGACACUGAGGUACGAAAAGCGUGGGUAGCAAAACAGGAUUAGAUACCCUGGUAGUCCACGCCGUAAACGAUGAUAACUAGCCGUUGGGAGGAUUUACCUCUUAGUGGCGAAGCUAACGCGUUAAGUUAUCCGCCUGGGGAGUACGGCCGCAAGGCUAAAACUCAAUGGAAUUGACGGGGACCCGCACAAGCGGUGGAGCAUGUGGUUUAAUUCGAUGCAACGCGAAGAACCUUACCUGGUCUUGACAUACACGGAACUUUCCAGAGAUGGAUUGGUGCCUUCGGGAACCGUGAUACAGGUGCUGCAUGGCUGUCGUCAGCUCGUGUCGUGAGAUGUUGGGUUAAGUCCCGUAACGAGCGCAACCCUUAUCCUUAUUUGCCAGCACAUCAUGGUGGGAACUAUAAGGAGACUGCCGGUGAUAAACCGGAGGAAGGCGGGGACGACGUCAAGUCAUCAUGGCCCUUACGACCAGGGCUACACACGUGCUACAAUGGGAAGGACAAAGGGUUGCUAAGCCGCGAGGUAGUGCUAAUCUCAUAAACCUUUUCGUAGUCCGGAUCGGAGUCUGCAACUCGACUCCGUGAAGUCGGAAUCGCUAGUAAUCGUGGAUCAGAAUGCCACGGUGAAUACGUUCCCGGGUCUUGUACACACCGCCCGUCAUACCAUGGGAGUGGGUUGCACCAGAAGUGGCUAGUCUAACUUAGUGAGGACGGUCACCACGGUGUGAUCCAUGACUGGGGUAAAGUCGUAACAAGGUA